ACAGCCAGCAUCCUGAACAUGAAAACAACUUCUUCUAACUUACAUACCAACGUUUUUCAGUGAUGACAGUCUUCUGCUCAGUCCUCGAGUCUCUCAGGCUGGUGGAUGAAUGAAUUUGGUUGGUCCAGAGAAAACUCUGUGGAUGUGAGUUUGAAUGAAAACCACUGCCCAGCCAAAGUGACUGUUUAUUCUCACUUCGUUUGGCACCUCUAGGACAAGAUUCAUCAUUUGCCUUAGAGAAACCAGCACCAGCCAGGUGGAUGCCCCUGAUCAGAGGUCUGAGUCUGAGCUCUAUGAGGUUCCUCCACUAAGCUGCUGCUCUGGUACAGUGGAAAGAACAGAACAUUUCAUCUUUCAAGGGAGAACAUUUCAGGUACAGUCUGCGAAGAGAUGUUUAUUAAAAAAAAAAAAAAAAAAAAAAAAAAGAUUUGGCCUUUGAACUCCCUGGCAAACAAGUGGAUUUUACUGACUCUGCGGUAUUAGGGGACGCACAGGCACACUGGGUGGUAUUUUUUAAAUUUCUUUUCAGAAGAGCCCCUUUUCUUUUGCUGACUCCAUAUUGUCAGUUCCGAGAAGAGAGUGCCAAGGUCCAAGUCGAAGGGGCAGUGUCUUUCCAGGAUCUAACAAGCUCAGGUACCAGAAGGACUGGGGCAUGAUCAUCCCUCCCUCCCAAGUGAAAAAAGACAAGAAAGGGGGAAAUUAGAAAAUCAGGGAAUAGGCUGUAUUCCUCAGGGUUAAGAGUUCAGGUCUAAAUUGAAAAUCACCUCCACCCCUUAAAGUUGUGUCGUCUUGGCCAAGGUGCUCUGCCUCUCCGACUCCUCAACUAUUAAACGAAGACACCAAUCCCUUCCUCACAGACACCAUUUGAAGGAGAAGCCUAUAGAAUGGGCUCUGCCGAAUCUGCAACGGAGCUCGGUAGACAGAUUCCCGGGCCCACUCAAUGCAACUUCGCCAAGCAGCAGCCUGGGAA